UACGUAGGGUGCAAGCGUUAAUCGGAAUUACUGGGCGUAAAGCGUGCGUAGGUGGUUUGUUAAGUCUGCUGUGAAAUCCCCGGGCUCAACCUGGGAAUUGCAUCUGUGACUGCAUCGCUGGAGUGCGGCAGAGGGGGAUGGAAUUCCGCGUGUAGCAGUGAAAUGCGUAGAUAUGCGGAGGAACACCGAUGGCGAAGGCAAUCCCCUGGGCCUGCACUGACGCUCAUGCACGAAAGCGUGGGGAGCAAACAGG
rnacentral:rRNA from 1 species